UACGUAGGGUGCGAGCGUUAAUCGGAAUUACUGGGCGUAAAGCGUGCGCAGGCGGUCGUGUAAGACAGGUGUGAAAUCCCCGGGCUCAACCUGGGAACUGCGCUUGUGACUGCACGGCUAGAGUACGGCAGAGGGGGGUGGAAUUCCUGGUGUAGCAGUGAAAUGCGUAGAGAUCAGGAGGAACACCGAUGGCGAAGGCAGCCCCCUGGGCCGAUACUGACGCUCAUGCACGAAAGCGUGGGGAGCAAACAGG
rnacentral:rRNA from 1 species